AGAGCCAGAAAUGAGCCGUGCUGUAGAACAGACUCUGACUCUCUUCAUUUUCACUCAGUACAGUGACCCUUUCCACUCACAGAUCUCUGACUUCAUAAGUUAGUCUCAUUCUUCCUCUAUCAAAAUAGAGAGCUUAAGAUUGGUCUUUUUAAGAUUCUGCUCUUAUAAAUCUCUCAGGCUGUGAGGAGGUUUUUGAGAGUCGCUUGGAUGCAGUGCUUUGGAACAAUGGAGAUCAAGUGAGGACAGCUCUGCAGUCUACCCUGAAAAACACACUGAAAGGAUUCCAGCAAAGACAGACUGUCCUCAUGGUGGCGUAGUGACUCGCCUCAGUCCGGGUGGCGGAGGACGAAUCUCAGUUGCCUCCAUGUCGGAGACCGUCAGUCUUAUCACAUGGCUUGUUGAGUGCGUUACCGUGGAGACAUAGUGCAUGUGGAGGCUCACGCUAUUCUCCAUCCACGCACAACUCACCACACGCCCCACCGAGAGCGAGAUCCCCAUUUUAGCGACCAUGAGGAGGUUAACCCAACGUGACUCUACCCACCGUAGCAACUGGGCCAAUUGGUUGCUUAGGAAGCCUGACUGGAGUCACUCAGCACACCCUGGAUUCAGACUUGCGAUUCCAGGGGUGGUAGUCAGCGUCUUUACUCGCUGAGCUACCCAGGCCCCCGACAAGUGGCUGAUGCUGUUAGCUCUGAACAGAGUAGUUUUGAAAGCUGGGAGAAAGCUUUUGAAAAUCCACCAGAACUGUCUCCAAAGAGGAUUCAGAGUGACCUUGAAUCCUUGUACAUUGUCCCUUAGAAAAAACCAUGCGUAGAGUUCUCUGAGAGUUCAGAUGCUUUGAUGAGCAGUGUCUUUGAGGCACCAAACAUCCAGAGAAGUCCCCUGUCACCCAUUCAACUGUCUCAAAGUCAGCAAACUGAAACGAUCCCAGAUCCGCUCCCUGAGCCUGUCAAAAAUGAAAAAUGAGAUGUGAAUACCUUUUUAUUUAUGUUCUGUAAAUACUGUCUGCCACAUAUUCAGUCUGAAGAUACUGUAUGUAUCCCAUAACACUUAAUCAUGAAAAAUGCCAGUAAGAAUUUGAUCAGAAUAAUGUUUGAGUUUUGUGUAUAUUCUAACAUUACAAUACAGUAUGUCUCUUUGUGUAGGUGGAGAAGCAGUGGCUUUAAGAACUUGAAAACAUUUCUGAACGGGAUUAAGAAAAAUACCAUUUAAAUCCCUUUGGGAUUUUUUUUUUCUCACCUUUAUUAAGACAUACUGUAUGUUGAAAGAUAUUUUAUUUUAUAUAUGUGUGCGUUUAUGGUACUAUGUGUGUUUCCAUCUUAUUUCAUACCAGAUACAAGUUCUCUGUAAUAUACUGCAAGUUCUAAAUAAUAAACUGGACACA